rnacentral:rRNA from 1 species
UACGAAGGGUGCAAACGUUGCUCGGAAUCAUUGGGCGUAAAGCGCACGUAGGCGGCUCCAAAAGUCGGAUGUGAAAUCCCUGGGCUCAACCGAGGAAGUGCAUCCGAAACUGCGGAGCUUGAGUAUGGAAGAGGGUCGCGGAAUUCCCGGUGUAGAGGUGAAAUUCGUAGAUAUCGGGAGGAACACCAGUGGCGAAGGCGGCGACCUGGGCCAAUACUGACGCCGAGGUGCGAAAGCGUGGGGAGCAAACAGG